rnacentral:rRNA from 1 species
UACGGAGGGUGCAAGCGUUGCUCGGAAUUAUUGGGCGUAAAGGGUAGGUAGGUGGUCUUAUUUGUCUGAGGUGAAAUCCUUGAGCUUAACUCAAGAAGAGCCUCAGAAACGGUGAGACUAGAGUCCUGGAGAGGGUCGUGGAAUUCCCGGUGUAGCGGUGAAAUGCGUAGAGAUCGGGAGGAACACCAGAGGCGAAGGCGGCGACCUGGACAGGCACUGACACUCAACUACGAAAGCGUGGGGAGCAAACAGG